rnacentral:rRNA from 1 species
UGGGGAAUUUUGGACAAUGGGGGCAACCCUGAUCCAGCCAUGCCGCGUGUGUGAAGAAGGCCUUCGGGUUGUAAAGCACUUUCGGACGGAACGAAAUCGCGCGAUCUAAUAAGUCGCGUGGAUGACGGUACCGUAAGAAGAAGCACCGGCUAACUACGUGCCAGCAGCCGCGGUAAUACGUAGGGUGCGAGCGUUAAUCGGAAUUACUGGGCGUAAAGUGUGCGCAGGUGGCUGAGCAAGUCGAGUGUGAAAUCCCCGGGCUUAACUUGGGAAUUGCGCUCGAAACUACUUGGCUCGAGUGUGGCAGAGGAAGGUGGAAUUCCAGGUGUAGCGGUGAAAUGCGUAGAGAUCUGGAGGAACACCGAUGGCGAAGGCAGCCUUCUGGGCCAACACUGACGCUCAUGCACGAAAGCGUGGGGAGCAAACAGGAUUAGAUACCCUGGUAGUCCACGCCCUAAACGAUGAUGACUAGUGUU